AAACCACAUGCCCAGAAUACUAAGGUUGGGCGGCUAGAUGAGGCAAGUUGUGUGUGUGUGUGUGUGUGUGUGUNNNNNNNNNNNNNNNNNNNNNCGCGCGCGCGUGCACGCGCCCCUGGGCGCAGGGUUGUGUGCGAGGACAAUUAUUUUCAUCAGCUGCUUGCUCGCCCGCGCCCGACUGCUCCUCUUUGCAGAACCGACGGCCUCCGGGGCUUUCAACUCUGCGAGCAAAGCUGGAGGAAUUCCUGUAUUGAGAUACCCUCCUUGAGAGCGACCAACUCUCUCGGCCCUGGGGAGCCGAGAAAGGGAGUCGAGGGUACCCGGGUCGCCCCCCACCCCAGGCAGGGCAGCACUCGAGGACUGCGAGGCUCCGGUUUCAGGCCCCCGGCUACUUCCGCGAGGACUGCCCGCGAGCGACGGCGGCAGCCCCGGGGCCCAGGUGGGCGGGAGGCAGGUGCCAUUCUCCUCUUGUUCAGUCACCAAGUUGUGUCUGACGCUUUGGGACUCCAUGGACUGCAGCACGCCAGGCCUCCCUGUCCUUCACCGUCUCCUGGAGAUUGCCCAAGUUCCUGUCUCCUCUUAGAGUGUCACAUCCAACAAAUCCUUGCCAAAUCUAAUGUCAUGAAGAUCUUCCCUGGAAUGUGGGCUGUUGUACCCAAGGCUGCCUGCUGA
rnacentral:lncRNA from 1 species